AACGUUUGCUCCUGCACAUAAAUAACAUCAUGGUAAUUCUGCUGAAAACUGCGUCAGUUCUGAGGAAUAAGCAUCGGCUAACUCUGUGCCAGCAGCCGCGGUAAGACAGAGGAUGCAAGCGUUAUCCGGAAUGAUUGGGCGUAAAGCGUAUGUAGGUGGCUUUUCAAGUCCGUCGUCAAAUCCUAGGGCUCAACCCUGGACAGGCGGUGGAAACUACUAAGCUGGAGUACGGUAGGGGCAGAGGGAAUUUCCGGUGGAGCGGUGAAAUGCAUUGAGAUCGGAAAGAACACCAACGGCGAAAGCACUCUGCUGGGCCGACAUUGACACUGAGAGACGAAAGAUAGGGGAGCAAAUGGGAUUAGAGACCCCAGUAGUCCUAGCGGGU
rnacentral:rRNA from 1 species